rnacentral:tRNA from 1 species
UGCCCCGUAGCACAAUUGGCAGUGCAUCUCCUUGUUACGGAGACGGUUGCAGGUUCGAUUCCUGCCGGGGUAGCAA